rnacentral:rRNA from 1 species
AGAACGAACGCUGGCGGCAUGCCUAAUACAUGCAAGUCGAACGAACACUUCGGUGUUAGUGGCGCACGGGUGCGUAACGCGUGGGAAUCUGCCCUUGGGUUCGGAAUAACAGUUGGAAACGACUGCUAAUACCGGAUGAUGACGAAAGUCCAAAGAUUUAUCGCCCAGGGAUGAGCCCGCGUAGGAUUAGCUAGUUGGUGAGGUAAAGGCUCACCAAGGCGACGAUCCUUAGCUGGUCUGAGAGGAUGAUCAGCCACACUGGGACUGAGACACGGCCCAGACUCCUACGGGAGCAGCAGUAGGGAAUAUUGGACAAGUGGGCGAAAGCCUGAUCCAGCAAUGCCGCGUGAGUGAUGAGGCCGUUAGGUUGUAAAGCGUCGUUUUACCCGGAUGAA